UAGCCACGGUAAUACCAGCUCCCCCGAGUGGUCGAGACGAUUAUUGAGCCUAAAGCAUCCGUAGCCGGCCGAGCAAGUUCCUCCUUAAAUCCAACGGCCCAACCGUUAGGCUGCGGAAGAUACCACGAGGGCGUAGGGGGCGGGAGAGGUGGACGGUACUCCAAGGGUAAGGGGUAAAAAUCCUCUGAUCCUUGGAAGACCACCGGUGGCGAAGGC
rnacentral:rRNA from 1 species